UACAUCAAAGUAUAAAAUGAAAAUUUUGAUAGUUUACUAAAUUGGUAUGUAUCCAAGCAAAUUUCGAGUAUUUACAAAAUUAUUUGGAAGUAUAUUUCAAACACAGGAUUUGCUGCCAAAGUAUCAAUAUUGUCAAAUAAAUCGAUGUUUCUCGAAAGCUUGUAAGUCCUUGAAUGGGGUAAAAUCUGUAUACUUUAAAGAGCACCAAAAUUCACAAUGGAGUCGCAA